rnacentral:rRNA from 1 species
CAGUCGCCGCGGGAACACGUAGGGUGCGAGCGUUAAUCGGAAUUACUGGGCGUAAAGCGAGCGCAGACGGUUAUUUAAGCAGGAUGUGAAAUCCCCGGGCUUAACCUGGGAACUGCGUUCUGAACUGGAUAGCUAGAGUGUGUCAGAGGGGGGUAGAAUUCCACGUGUAGCAGUGAAAUGCGUAGAGAUGUGGGGGAAUACCGAUGGCGAAGGCAGCCCCCUGGGAUAACACUGACGUUCAUGCUCGAAAGCGUGGGUAGCAAACAGGAUUAGAUACCCCCGUAGUCCCUGUCUCUUAUAC